CCCUGGGGGUGUCAAAUUGACAUAUUACCUUCCGCGAAAAAGAACAAGACGAUAAUAAUUUUUCGCGACAUCGUCAAUUUUCUCGUGCAGCUUGUUGACAGGAUUUUAUUUAAAGUGCAGCAUUUUGUUUUCUAAUGUCAAAUUAAUUUAAUCUUCGAUGAAAGUAACAUGUAGAGAUUUCGUUUGUUUUUUGUUUACUGAUAUAAAGUUUGAAUGAAAAACGUAUAUGUUGUAACAUCUAUCAUUGCAUACAUUCAAACGUUAGAAAUAAAUUUGUAGAUGAGAACAAAAAUCAUAUACUUAUUAUAGGCAAAUAAAAAAAAGAAAGUACUGUGAUAUAAGCACGAAUAUGACGUAUUGGUUGUGUAUAUUUAAACAAUUUAUUCUCUUUGCAAAUAACGUCUAUGAUGUAUUGGAAAAGAGAAAAGCUAAAUAUCAAUACCUCGAGUGAUAAGUUUGCAAGAAUUUAUUUUUAUCAUAUUUACACGCAAGCACUUUGUUGUUAUACCUUUGACUUUAAACAAACAACACCCGCUACCAAUGUAAGUAAUAAAUUAUUUUAUUUAUACGUUCUAUAAUUAAAACCACUAUACACAUUCUUCAUUAUCCUCAAGGAGAACAGCCAACAAACUACUAAAAAUGCUAUAAUCUACGAUCGAUGACAUAUAGAAUACAUCUGGAUGCAUUCUUUUAGGAAGAGAUAUUUAAGAGCAUGGUCAGCAGAAUGAGUUUUAGAAGAAAUAUAUAUGUACAUAAAGCUAUGAAAAAGAAUAUCGAUAGAAAGAAACAGAAGAUUCUACGGAUCUACAAAAUUAGGAUACCAUAGGAAUGUUCAGUUACGAUCUAAAAACAAUGAGAAUUACUACAAAUUUUAUUAUCUAUCCUCUAAUAACGCAAUAUCCACUUACGGAGAUGGCAGCACCCAAGUUUGCUCGCUUUAAAGAAAAACACAGAAGACAGAUUAUACAACUGUCAUAAAGACUACUAUUAAUUUCAAUAAUGGGUCUCAUGAAAUUAAGAUUACUUCGACAAGAUUAACGGUUGUUGAAAAAUAAUAUAUAAAUAGAGAGAUGUCGUAUGUCAUGAAAUCUGUAUAAGCAUUUGGAAAGUGAUCGCAAACAGUAAGUUUCACACACAUUGCUUUUACCUGUAAAGACAAAAUUUUAAAUCUUUGAAUAUAAACAAUAUUUACUUA